AAAACAAUUAGAUAUUACAACCCAUUACAUUCAAUCAUCUUCCUCAUGACACAAGUCAAUUGGGUUGUCAUUGACAGUCCCUGGGGCACCUGCUUUUGGCUGAGGACCAAAAUAGCAUGUCCUCCCGCUCCUCCUCAACCUCGAAUGAUUAUACACCAGCACCUUCGAAUCAUUCUUUUUGACGGAUCCAUCACAUGUGAUUCCGUGCCAUGUCAUCGGCGAUUUUUCUUUCUUCUUGUCGUCACCCUCCUUCUUCUUGUUCAACUCAACGUUUCCCUGAUUCUGAGAC
rnacentral:lncRNA from 1 species